AAAUUGAAGAGUUUGAUCAUGGCUCAGAUUGAACGCUGGCGGCAGGCCUAACACAUGCAAGUCGAACGGUAGCACAGAGAGCUUGCUCUCGGGUGACGAGUGGCGGACGGGUGAGUAAUGUCUGGGAAACUGCCUGAUGGAGGGGGAUAACUACUGGAAACGGUGGCUAAUACCGCAUAACGUCGCAAGACCAAAGAGGGGGACCUUCGGGCCUCUUGCCAUCAGAUGUGCCCAGAUGGGAUUAGCUAGUUGGUGAGGUAACGGCUCACCAAGGCGACGAUCCCUAGCUGGUCUGAGAGGAUGACCAGCCACACUGGAACUGAGACACGGUCCAGACUCCUACGGGAGGCAGCAGUGGGGAAUAUUGCACAAUGGGCGCAAGCCUGAUGCAGCCAUGCCGCGUGUAUGAAGAAGGCCUUCGGGUUGUAAAGUACUUUCAGCGGGGAGGAAGGUGUUGUGGUUAAUAACCACAGCAAUUGACGUUACCCGCAGAAGAAGCACCGGCUAACUCCGUGCCAGCAGCCGCGGUAAUACGGAGGGUGCAAGCGUUAAUCGGAAUUACUGGGCGUAAAGCGCACGCAGGCGGUCUGUCAAGUCGGAUGUGAAAUCCCCGGGCUCAA
rnacentral:rRNA from 1 species